rnacentral:misc_RNA from 1 species
GCUCAUCAAGAUUGCUCACCACGAACGUAAGCCAUUAGAAAGGAAGGUCACUUCGGAAAAAAAAACAAUAAUAAUAAAGAAAUGAGAUUGAGAAAACUCCACGCAAACUGAGGUAAAGGCAUACCCAAAAAGAGUAACUCACAAGGAAAAAUUGUCCGGUAGAAAGCUAAAUCAAUGCAAAUCCUUAAUCCUCGUCACAACUCCAAAAACAGUUCCUUAAUCAUGUUUACUACCAAUUCAAUUGCAUG